UGUGGGAGCGAGCCUGCUCGCGAAUUCGGAUUAUCAGUCAGUGAUGUUUUGACUGACACACCGCUUUCGCGAGCAGGCUCGCUCCCACA
rnacentral:misc_RNA from 1 species